GAAAUGCGAUAAGUAGUGUGAAUUGCAGAAUUCAGUGAAUCAUCGAAUCUUUGAACGCACAUUGCGCCCCUUGGUAUUCCAUGGGGCAUGCCUGUUCGAGCGUCAUUUGUACCUUCAAGCUUUGCUUGGUGUUGGGUGUUUGUCUCGCCUCUGCGCGCAGACUCGCCUCAAAACAAUUGGCAGCCGGUGUAUUGAUUUCGGAGCGCAGUACAUCUCGCGCUUUGCACUCAUAACGACGACGUCCAAAAAGUACAUUUUUUACACUCUUGACCUCGGAUCAGGUAGGGAUACCCGCUGAACUUAAGC
rnacentral:misc_RNA from 1 species